CUAAGGAAUAUUACGGAGACUACACAAUUUGUUUUUACUUUGUUCAGUUUUGAGAGGUUUACUCUCAAACACUUUUGUUCAUUGAAAACUGGAUAUUUGAAGUAAAUGUAAGUAAUACAAACCGAGAACACCGCGUUGAAUGAGUUUUUUAAUAAGUUCAAUUGCUUAUUUUCUUGAUCUAACUUCUAUCGCUAGAAGAAGGAUCAAAACCCAACCGCAAGGUUGAUAAGGUUAAGUGAAUAAGGGCGCACGGGGAAAUGCCCUUGGCAUUC
rnacentral:misc_RNA from 1 species